rnacentral:rRNA from 1 species
GGGGCCGGCCUAACCAUGCAAGUCGAGCGGUAGAGAGGUGCUUGCACCUCUUGAGAGCGGCGGACGGGUGAGUAAAGCCUAUGAAUCUGCCUGGGACUGGGGGAUAACGCUCGGAAACGGACGCUAAUACCGCAUACGUCCUACGGGACAAAGCAGGGGACCUUCGGGCCUUGCGCUAUCGCAUGAGCCUAGGUCGGAUUAGCUAUUUGGUGAGGUAAUGGCUCCCCCUCGCCACGAUCCGUAACUGGUCUGAGAGGAUGAUCAUUCCCACUGGAACUGAAACACGGACCAGACUCCUACGGGAGGCAGCAGUGGGGAAUAUUGGACAAUGGGCGAAAGCCUGAUCCAGCCAUGCCGCGUGUGUGAAGAAGGUCUUCGGAUUGUAAAUCACUUUAAGUUGGGAGGAAGGGCAUUAACCUAAUACGUUAGUGUUUUGACGUUACCGACAGAAUAAGCACCGGCUAACUCUGUGCCAGCAGCCGCGGUAAUACAGAGGGUGCAAGCGUUAAUCGGAAUUACUGGGCGUAAAGCGCGCGUAGGUGGUUCGUUAAGUUGGAUGUGAUAUCCCCGGGCUCAACCUGGCAACUGCAUUCAAAACUGUCCAGCUAGAGUAUGGUAGAGGGUGGUGGAAUUUCCUGUGUAGCGGAGAAAUGCGUAGAUAUAGGAAGGAACACCAGUGGCGAAGGCGACCACCUGCACUGAUACUGACACUGAGGUGCGAAAGCGUGGGGAGCAAACAGGACUAGAUACCCUGGUAUGCCACGCCGUAAACGAUGUCAACUAGACGUUGGGAGCCUUGAGCUCUUACUGGCGCAGCUAACGCAUUAAGUUGACCGCCUGGCGAGUACGGUCGCAAGGUUAAAACUCAAAUGAAUUGACGGGGGCCCGCACAAGCGGUGCAGCAUGUGGUGUAAUUUCAAAGCAACGCGAAGAGCCUUACCAUGGCCUGGACAUCCCAUGAACUUUUCCAUAGAUGGAAUUGAUGCCUUCCGGUAACAUUGACGACAGGAGCUUGCAUGGCUGUCGUCACUCGUGUUCGUGAUGAUGAUUGGGUUAAGUUCCGUCACGAGACGCAGCCCUUGUCCUUUAGUUUACCAUGCACGUUAGUGCUUGGGCCAGUCCUAAUACGGAAGACGGCCUGGUGAACCAA